UGCUCGCGGUGUUGAGUAGGCCACGAUGGUAUAUUCAAACACCGCAAUUGAUCAACGCAUGAGAUGUUAUUACACGGUUUUGGUUAUGUGCUUAAAAUUAACAUUAAAUUAGUUGUUUCGCAUAUAGGUGAGAUGUUAUGUGCUUAAAAUUAACGUUACAUUAGUUGUGUCAUACCUAUAUUUAUACAACAAUAAAACGUGCCUAAUAUAUGUAACAAUACAUGAAAAAUAAUUUACCUACAAGUUAGAGAAGUGUUAUUUGAUUCAAAAUAUAUAAUAUGGAUUUAGUAUAAUUUUUUUUAAUAAUUGGAACAAAUUAAUUGUAACAUCCCACAUCAUCCAGGAGAAUGGAUCCUGUAAGCCUUAUAUGUAUAUUCCCAUCUCUACCUAGCACGAGGCCUUUUGGGAGCUCAUUGGCUU
rnacentral:lncRNA from 1 species